AACGCUGAAACACCGGUUCUCGCACGAUUAGCGAUGUUAAACCUCGUUGAGACUGGUAAAUACCUAGGUGGGUGACCGCUUGGGAAUAUCAGGGGCUGUAG